rnacentral:rRNA from 1 species
UACGUAGGGUGCGAGCGUUGUCCGGAAUUAUUGGGCGUAAAGGGCUCGUAGGCGGUCUGUUACGUCGGGAGUGAAAACUCGGGGCUACAACCCCGAGCCUGCUUCCGAUACGGGCAGACUAGAGGUAUGCAGGGGAGAAUGGAAUUCCCGGUGUAGCGGUGAAAUGUGUAGAGAUCGGGAGGAACACCGGUGGCGAAGGCGGUCUCUGGACGGUGACUGACGCUGAGCGCGAAGCGUGGGAGCAAACGG